AUUGAACGCUGGCGGCAUGCCUUACACAUGCAAGUCGAACGGCAGCACGGGAGCAAUCCUGGUGGCGAGUGGCGAACGGGUGAGUAAUAUAUCGGAACGUGCCCAGUCGUGGGGAUAACGUAGCGAAAGCUACGCUAAUACCGCAUACGAUCUAUGGAUGAAAGCGGGGAUCGCAAGACCUCGCGCGAUUGGAGCGGCCGAUAUCAGAUUAGGUAGUUGGUGAGGUAAAGGCUCACCAAGCCGACGAUCUGUAGCUGGUCUGAGAGGACGACCAGCCACACUGGGACUGAGACACGGCCCAGACUCCUACGGGAGGCAGCAGUGGGGAAUUUUUGGACAAUGGGCGCAAGCCUGAUCCAGCAAUGCCGCGUGCAGGAUGAA
rnacentral:rRNA from 1 species